rnacentral:rRNA from 1 species
CCUACGGGAGGCAGCAGUAGGGAAUUUUCGUCAAUGGGCGCAAGCCUGAACGAGCGAUGCCGCGUGAGUGAAGAAGGCCUUCGGGUCGUAAAGCUCUGUUGCGGGGGAAACAAGGCCGCAUCCGGAAAUGGGUGCUGACUGAUGGUGCCCCGCCAGCAAGUCACGGCUAACUACGUGCCAGCAGCCGCGGUAAUACGUAGGUGGCGAGCGUUAUCCGGAAUGGUUGGGCGUAAAGGGUGCGCAGGCGGUCCUGCAAGUCUGGAGUGAAACGCAUGGGCUCAACUCAUGCCUGGCUUUGGAAACUGGAGGACUGGAGAGCAGGAGAGGGCGGUGGAACGCCAUGUGUAGCGGUAAAAUGCGUAGAUAUAUGGAAGAACACCAGUGGCGAAGGCGGCCGCCUGGCCUGUUGCUGACGCUGAGGCACGAAAGCGUGGGGAGCAAAUAGGAUUAGAUACCCGAGUAGUC